GAGCUUGGAGCCGAGUAGCCAGGUGGUGACAUCACGGUCCCUGUCCUACUGGCGCUCGCACAACACGGGGCCAGACACACGGAAAGGGCCCCAAGGGUCAGCCCCCGGGCUGCCCUCCACGCAGACCCCACAGGGUCUCCUCGUCGCCCCCCCGACCUCCGCGCGCGUGCGCACAAGCUGCUAGAGGGAGCGGCGGGCAGCGGACGGCGGGAAAAGGAGACUUACCUCGGUAUUCCUCCAUACGCCCCCCUUGAUCAUAAUUCGAGGCAUCUUGGCGGCAGGGUGUCUCGGCAAGCAGCCGAGAGGAGCUUCAGAGAAGUAGUAACAGCGAUUGGGCCACCGGACUCAAAGCCGCCACUUCCUCCAAGCGCGACCUUCUGCUUUGAAGAUCUGCGCAAGCGCAAGGUGGGAGGGGGCGCAGAAUAGCAAGUCUCGCGAGAUAUUGGGUGGCUGAAAGGGAAAAAGUGUCUUGUGGAAGCUCAGCUGCAGGAAGACUAACACAAAACCAUCAAACCACUCUGGCCAAAGCGCCUUACGCCCCGCGCAUGUCCAAAACAGAAUGGAAGAAACUACGGCUCUCGCGAGAUAGCGGCGGUAGCGCUUGGCUGGGAACUUAGUGGUGGGAUUGAUCGUGACGUCACCGAGUGGCAGAGGGUGGGAACGUCACGCGUACGGAAUUUCAGCACAGUUGCUCCGAAGAAGGCUUUGUUAAUUUAUUAAUCUAGCCCUUUCAAGUAUUUCAGUAAUAGGAAUUUAUUCACAGAAUACUCAGGAAAAUCCAGUAGUUUAUUUAAGGCUCAGUUUCCUAACCUGUAAAAUAGAGAUCAUAGUAAUGCCAACCUCACAGGAUUGUCGUAAGGGCUAAAUGAGAUCAUAGACCCAGCACAGUAUCUGAUCCAUAAUAACUGCUGCAAAACAAUAGCAGCUAUUACUGCAAGGAGGGCAACGCCAACUUCACCCCGUCCCCAGGUGAUCCAGGCUUCUUCCAGAAACCUGCAGAAACGUCACGUCAGAGUUUUUAAUUCAUCGCCCAGUCUGGAUUAAUAAUGCCAUUGGUACGCACUGGUAUUAGACAAAGUCGAGUUGGGUUGAAAUAUUGUGAAAUCUUGGCUUUCUCAUAAGUUUGGGUAAUAACCUUACUGAAUCUCAGUAUCCUCAUCUGAAAAGUGGAGCUAACAAUACCCGCCUCGUAAAUGAGGAGGCAGAUUAACUGAAACAUAACUAAAACCCAGUGAGGUAGGGAUUGGCAAACUCUCUGCUACCCCACCCCAAUUACUCAUGCAGUCUCCUUCAUCCUUCCAGAACAUCUCUGGCUCCAUCCCUGGAAAAUAUCAAAAUAUUUAGUGGGUUGGGAAAUGCCCUAUUUAUAGUACUUAGUAUUUAUAUAGUGCCUAUCUCUUUAUAUUUCUUCAUUUCUCCGUUUGCCUCUUCUGGAAGAGCUACAGAAUUUUCUUUUUCCUUUUAGCUUUUAUUUACACACAUUCUGUGCAAUUAUGGUCAGCAAGAGGGCAUUUUCCAUGGCCACCCUGGUAGUGUUUGCCACUCAAAGGUUUAUGCUGGCGGGCAGCCCGCCCUUGAGCUGUUUACCCACUGUGUGGUGUAUAAGAAACCAUUGGACCUGUGGCCAGUUAAACUCAAACAAAAUGUUUUCAUUUGGACCUCUCCUGUAAUGGGGCGGUUUUUUUUUAAUUUGUUAUAUUUAAUUUUUGUGGGUACAUAGUACACACAUAUUUAUGGGGUACAUGAGAUAUUUUGAUACUGGCAUACAACACAUAAUAAUCACAUCAGGGUAAAUGGGGUAUCCAUCAUCUCAAGUGUUUAUCUUUUGUUUUACAAACAAUCCAAUUAUAAUCUUUUAGUUAAUUUAAAUGUACAAUUAAAUUAUUUUUUACUAUAGUCACCCUGUUGUGCUAUCAAAUACUAGGUCUUCGAGAUUUUAACACUGGAGCAUAGAGGAGGUCAGUCUCUACUGACUGCUGAACAUCCAACACGUGACACCCAGGAGUUGUCUACCACCAUGUUUUGGACUAAGGGAAAAAAGCAGGUAAAGAGAGAGAUGUAAGUCCUGACCAUGUCAGAGUACCUGGAUCCAGCAUGUUCCUGAGUCCCAGCUGCAUUCCUGUCCUUGCAUUCUGAUUAUUAGUUUCCUAUUUGUGUUAGCCACUUGGAAUUGGGUUUCUAUUAUUUGUAAGGAAGAGUCCUAACAAUUCCAGAGAUGGACCAAUACUCUGUCAGAGGCCUUUCAGAUCUCACAUUCCAAGAGUUGAUGAAGGCUUCUCCCUCCCACUCAGGGCCACCUCUUUACCAUAUGUUACUUUUGUGAGAACUAGAAAAAGGUGCCCCUUCCUCAAGACACUUUAUGCCACAUGCUGGAAAAUUGUCACAAAAUACUGGUGUUCUGAGAACAGGGCACUCUAUUACAAGAAAAUUGGAUCUACCAUCUCCACUAUGUGAAUUCCACCCCUAGAGACAUGCAUUGUACAACUUACUCAUCCAGGUAAAACAGCCCUGUCAACUGUCCCUCAUUUCACCUUUGAACAUGCAGAUUGUAUAUUCCCUUUCAGAAUUCAGAAAAAUGCAACAUCAUGGAAGUUCCAGGAUGUCUGAAACCAGAGCACUGUAGCCACAAACAUCAGAACACAAACACACUGUUCUCCAGGAUGGCCUGCUUGGCCAGCCUCCCCCACCAUACUACUGCAGCCUCACCAGCCAGGUAUGGGAACCCUUACAAAGAGGCCACAGGGACUGCCAACAAUCUCUUGAGGGACAGCCAUAAGAAGCAUCUAUCGUUAGGCAACCAGACUAUAUGGUCAGUCACUGUGAAUCUUUGGUAAAGUGAGUGGCCACUGCUAAAUAGUCUCACUCACCCAAGGCAUUUUUCCCCAAACAUGUUCCUUAGAACACCAGUUACAUAAAAUACUCCAUUUAAAAAAAAACAAAAAAUAAAAAAAAACAUGGUUUUUAUGUCCUCCCCUCUUGCAGAGUCACUGAAAUUAAAGCCUGUAAGAAGCUGUCAGAUGAAAAAAUCUGUUUCUCCCUGUUGAGAGUUGAAUUGUAUUCCCCCCAAAUAGAUAUGUUCAAGUCCUAACCCCUGCUACCUGUAAAUGUGACCUUAUUUGGAAAUAGAGUCUUUGCAGAUGUAAUCAAGUUAAAAUGAGAUCAUACUGGAGUAGGUUGUCCCUAAAUCCAAUGAGUAGUGUCCUUAUAAGUGGAGAAGAAAAAAGAUACAGACACACAGGGGGAAUAUCAUGGGAAGAAAGAGGCAGAGAUUGGAGUGAUGCAGCUCCAAGCCAAGGAAUGCCAAGGAUUCUGGCAGCCACCAGAAGCCAGGAGAAGGCAUGGAACACAUUCUCCCUCUGAGCCCCAAGAAGGAGCCAGCCCUGCUGACACUUUGAUUUUGGACUCCCAGCCUCCAGAACUGUAAGAGAAUACAUUUCUCUUGUUUUAAGCCACUUAGUUUAUUGUGCUUUCUUGUGGCAGCCCUAGGAAGCUAAUACACUCCUUUGUUAAUACAGCAGAUCCUUGAAUAACAUCAUUUUGUGCAAGAUCGUUUCAUGAUAACAUUGAUGAGUCCAGGCAUGGUGGCUCAUGCCCGUAAUUCCAACACUCGGGGAGGCCAAGGCAGGAGGAUUGCUUGAGCCCAGGAGUUUGAGACCAGCCUGAGCAACAUAGUGAGACCCCAUCCCUACAAAAAUAUUAAAAAUUAGCUGGGCAUGGUGGUGCACACCUGUGAUCCCAGCUACCCAUGAGGCUGAGAUGGGAGGAUCACUUGAGCCUGGGUGGUCGAGGCUGCAGUGAGCCAUGAUCACACCACUGCACUCCACCCUGGGCGAGACCUCAUCUCAAAAAAAAAAAAAAAUCCGCUUGAGGCCAGGGCCACUGUCUGUGUGGGUUUCUUCCAGAUACCCUGGUUUCCUCCCACAUCCCAAAGCUGUGCAGGUGAGGUUCAUUUGCAAGCCUGCAGUCUGAGUGAGUGUCAGGGUGUGUGAGUGUGCCCUGCAAUGGGAUGGUGUCCUGUGUGCUGUCCAGAACUGAUUCCUGCCUUGUGCCAGGAUAGGCUCCGGCCACCUGUAACCCUGAACUGGAAUAAGCGGGAGUACAUUUCUUGUUUUUAUUAAUCUUUCUUUUCUUUUCUUUUCUUUGAGACAGAGUCUCACUCUGUGCAGGCUGGAGUGCAGUGCCACAGUCUCGGGUCACUGCAGCCUUGACCCCCACCCCACUGGCUCAAGCAAUCUUCCAACUUCAGCCUCCCGAGUAGCUGGGACUACAGGCGUGCACCCCCAUGCCUGGCUAAGUUUUGUAUUUUUUUGUAGAAAUGGGGUUUCACCAUGUUGCCCAGGCUGGUCUCAAACUCCUGAGCUCAAGUGAUCUGCCCCCCUUGACCUCCCAAGGUGCUGAAAUUACAGGUAUGAGCCACCGUGCCCAGCCUAAUCUUUCUUAAAUGUAUGCAUAGCUUACACUUAUUUCAAUGUUUAAUAUUAGAAGUGUUUUGGUCUUUGUUUAGAAGUUCGUUGAUGUUUUGUGACCAGAAAUAUGCCAUAGAAACUUAACUCUUGUUUAUAUCAAUUAGCCUAUGGUAAAAUUGAUUACAUGAUACAUCCUUUUGCUUAAAGUUGCAGUUUCCAAAAACCUAACAAUGAUAAAAAUGAGGACUUACUAUAUAGCAUUUCCAAACUAAUUUGACCCUAAAAACCUUUUGUGUUAUAUAUCCAUUGACACUCAGGAAACACAAUUUGGGAAACUCUGGCUCAGGAAAAAGAGGUUAGAAGUCCAUCCAACUUACAAAGGGGAACCAGAGAUGUUAGCAGGAGGAUUUUUAGGUUGCAUUGUCCCCAUUUCCCUACCCCUCACCCCUCUCUGGGUAGCUGGUUCUGAAUGGAUUGACAUUUACUUAGCAGAGAAAGUAAUCAAAAUUCUAGUUUCCCUUUCAUCCAGUUUUUUCACCACCAAGAAACUAUGCAGGAAAGGGCUAAAAUUAGGGGCAAAAGCCUAUGGCAACAGCAAGGCAUAGUUUAGAGGCAGGAUUAAUGACUCUCACAAUCUUCAUCAUCUCCCCAAAUAAACAUGCAUAAUAAUUUAAAUAAAAAUACUGUCCUGCUUUGCAAAUGCAGUCAUGUGUCAAUGACAGGGAUACAUUCUGAGAAACGCAUCGUUAGGUGAUUUCACUGUUGUGAGAACAUCACAAAAUGUACUCACACCAAAUCUAGAUGCAGUAGUCUAUUACACACCUAGGCCAUAUGGUAUAUAUAACCCUUUGCUCCUAGGCUACAAACCUGUACAGCAUGUUACUGUACUGAAUACCAUAGGCAAUUGUAACACAAUGGCAUUUGUGUAUCUAAAUACAGAAAAGGUACAGUAAAAACAUUUAUCAGUAAAAUGUCUUCUAAUAAUUGUUAAAAGACAUUUGCAAAACAAUAAAAAAUAAAGAAAAGAUACAGUAAAAAUAUGGAAUUAUAAUCUUAUGGGACCACCAUCAUAUAUGCAGUUUAGAGUUGAUCAAAAUGUCGUUAUGCAUUGCAUGAUGAUAUCAUUUCAAGACAGGUCCUCUAGCCCAACCCAUCCACCAGAUUGCCAUCCAUAAGCCCCUCCUUCCCAUUUAGAAAUUCCUCAACCAGCAUUGGGAAAAGCUAAUGUCCUGGUGUCAAGUUGCUACAAAAUGAUUUCCAAGCAUCCUAAAUCCUGAUAAUUCAUGUUGUAUUGCUGAAAACAUCACCUAAAUUGGCUUGAGUUUCAUCCAUUGACAAUUCCUUGUGGUGGAUCCAGUUGUGGUUUUAUAGUUCUUUCUCAGGGUUCACCUUUGUGGGUGUUCUCUAGGGAGUCCCCUGUGCCCUGAAGUGGAGAAAUGAUCCCAAGGAGAAUUUGCUUUUGCUCAGGCCCUGAGGUUUGAGGGUCUUUUUGAGCUCGUUGCUCAGUUUGGGAUGGAUAUUCCAAUUGUGUAAUUUAUAUCUAGCCCCUGCAUCUACAUGUCACAGGCUUAGAAUAUACAUUUCUCACAGGGGACUUUAUUUUUCACAUGCGUAUAUCCAGACCCCAGAUUUAUAUGCCCGACUACACCCUAGAUAGUUCCACCAGUGUCACAAGUUCCUCAAUGUCAAAUUGCCCAACAUUGACCUCCUGCCAAAAAAUCUGUACUUCCCCAGCAUGCCUCAUUUCAGCAAAUAGCACAAGGCUGCUGCAUAUGGUUGUGUAAGAAGUUCACUGCACAACAAGGACAUGGGGAUUUAAAUCCAGCUUGCACACAGCUCACUAAGCUGUGCAUCCACAGGGCUGUGUCCACCAAGAGGGCAUCAUUCUCUAGUUGUACAAAGAUGCUACAUGAGGUCCAGAUGGCCCUGGCAACUACACCAUCAUCCAUCCAGUUGCCAUUUCUCCUUCUCGUAUAUUUUUACCCCACCCAUUCCCAAGUCAUCCCAGAGUCUCACCACCUUGACCUCCUACUUAGUCCUCAAAUCUAUCUCCUUUGUGCCACCUGCACUAUAAGUUGCCAGUUCUGACAAAUAAAAAUGCAGAGCUCGGCCGGGCGCAGUGGCUCACACCUGUAAUCCCAGCACUUUGGGAGGCUGAGGCGGGCGGAUCACAAGGUCAGGAGAUCAAGACCAUCCUGGCUAACACGGUGAAACCCCGUCUCUACUAAAAAAACAAAAAAAUUAGCCGGGUGUGGUGGCGGGUGCCUGUAGUCCCAGCUACUUGGGAGGCUGAGGCAGGAGAAUGGCGUGAACCCGGGAGGCAGAGCUUGCAGGGAGCCGAGAUGGCGCCACUGCACUCCAGCCUGGGCGACAGAGCGACACUCCAUCUCAAAAAAAAAAAAAAAAAUGCAGAGCUCCCAUUUAAAUGAAUUUUAAAUAAAGAACAAACAAUAUUUAGUAUAACUAUGCCCCUAAAUCCAUUCUGUCUAACAGAAUCCCAACUUUUACUCCAGCCCAAACUGUGCUCAGACAAAAGAACACAUUUCUAGCCAGAUAAGCAUACCCUUGCUCACAGCUUCACCACUGGAAGCUGGAUCCGUCUGCUGCCCCCACACCACAUUUGGUGGAGGCAGACACAUUUCCUCAGAAAAUAAGACAUUGGGAUAUUUUGGCUGCUUGUUUGAUAUAAGGCUAGGACCCUUCAUGCACACCACAAAAUGUUUACUUUUCAUGUAAGUGUUAUAGCCUGGAUUUAGGAGCCUCAGUGUUGGCUCCCAGGUGAGUCAGUAGUGGCCUCCCCAUUCCUGAGGGUGGCAUCAGGCCACAGUACCUCUUGGGGCUCCCCAGCAUGGGAAGGACACCAGUCAUCUCAAAUGGGCUCCCACAUCCUCUCCCAGAGUGUGCCGGGAACUUGGCUCGUAGACCCCGUAAAAAGGUGCGCCAUCCUGCAUCAGGCAUGUGGCUCAGUUCUGGGUAGAGGUAAUUAUAUACCCAAGUACUCUCUCCUGAUUUCCCAGCCAGGAAAGAAAAGCCUCUUUAGGACAGAGACAUGAUCUUGAAGGACUCCAACUCUAAAAUACUUCACCAAGUCAAGUCCUGUAAACAAUGUGUUUACCUGCCUAGAUUUUGAGACCAAAAUGCCUAAGAACAAAACAAAACUAACCAAACUGAGUGCCUCGUAUUAGAAAUGUGGACAAUUAGUGGAAUCCUACAGUAUAUUCCUAAAUUCCUUGUGGAAUUUUAGAAGUUUAAUAUCCUACUAUCUUAACAUUUUGGUAACUUGGAGUUCAGAGAUCACUAAUUCGAACGUUGGUGCCACUAGCUGAAUAAUACAAUGUUUCUUCAUGUCCACAGAGGUCAUUUUUCAUUUAUCCCAGGAUCCAAAAUUAGAAUACCUCUGUGCAAUAUAAAAUUGCACACUAAGAAAUUUACUUGUAAAGUUUCACAUAUAGUUUAUUUCUAUUGAACUUCAGUUAUUGAAAGUAAGAAUUGAACACACACACACCUCUGCACCCACAUGUUUUUAUUUACCAAAGACCCUACAGUGAGGUGAAGGGGAUCUUUACAUCUAACAGGUUCAACCUCUUUCUAGCUGGAAAGAAGCAAAAGCUGGAACAGCUAUGAUAUGCACAUAUUUUUCCCAUGUGGCCUUUCUCUAUGCCUUUGUCUCCCCACACACGUAGACAUACUCAUGCUGUCCAAAGUUGGCAGUGGAACUCUACCUGACAGCUAUUGAGGUGCCGUGGAAUAAGGCCUGGGCAUCGAGAUGUACCCACAGAGAACACCAGAUCCAGCGAAAACUGCCCUGAUUUUCAGGGGAUGAAAUGUAGCUCUGCAACUCCA
rnacentral:lncRNA from 1 species